rnacentral:lncRNA from 1 species
AUACCAGACAAGAAGUACCUUACAUGAACUAGCCCAUUUAAUCCCCCACACACUCUAAACACACAUUGCUGUCCCCACUGUACAGGCUGGAGUUCCAAGAGAGCACAGUCAGCUAAAGGCAGAAUCCACAGUGAUCCCCAUUUUUCAUGGGUACAUGGGAUCCUUUUAAAAUGUGAUGCUCGGUGCCAGCCAACAUUGCAGAAAGGGCUAGGCUCACCUCUAUCGGCAACUGAACCUUCAGCAGAGAUGGCUCAGUGGCUGACGAUGCUCGCUGCCAGCCUGGGACGAAGCUCCAGAACCUACCUGGUGGAAGGAGAGAGCUCACCCCCUCUGGCUGGUCUCUGCCCUCCACAAGAGAACUGCAGCAUUCCGUGCCCACAACACACAGUAUAAGUGGAUUUAAAUGUAAUGAUUCUCUUAAAAAUAGUGACUUCUGCUUUGGCAAAGGCCUAUUAUUAACAAGCAAGCAAACAAGCAAGCAAACAGAAAUAGAAGACAAAGAGAGGAGAAAAGGCAAGCUACCACUCGGGACGGACUGGUCCUCACAGUCUAUAGCUGCCAGAGGUAAGUGUGACACCAAUCUUGUCAACUUGACUAUAUCUAGAAUCAACUAAAACCCAAGCAUCUGGGCACAUCCGUGAGGAUUUUUCUGAUUGGG